AUUGUUUUUAUUAAUUUAUUUAUAUAAGAGCUAAUUACAGCAUGUAAGGUUCGCCUGUAGAGAUUUUAAAUUAUUUUAUAUUUUUAUUUAUUUAAAUUAUUUUAUUGAGAUAUCAAACGACGUUAAAUAAUGUCUAUGAUUCAUGCGCCAGACGUUUAUAUACUUUGUGUUUAUCUCCUUUAAAACGACAAUUGCCGCAUAGGAAAAUAUGCGUUUUUGGAACUUUUGAACUUAAAAAAAAAAAUGAUUAUAAGGCAUGUGAAUUUCCUGAAUUUUUUGGUGUCUUUUAUUAACAUUGAAAGACCUUUCAAUAGUUUCUCUUUACCUUAUCUGGUUUUCGUAAUACCGAUCAUUUUGAAUGAAAUCGUCGAAAAAUGAAGAUAAGGAGCUGAAAGUUGCCACAAAAAUUCGUUGAUUAAUUAAGAAUAUGAUGUUAGAGGAUAGGCGUGAUAGGCACAUAUGCCCGGGCAUGUUAUGGAUAAAACUGACACAACCGCGAUUUCGUGUAUAGAUUUCGGUCCCAUGAAAAUAUUUCCAAAACGGUCUUAUUCAAAUGGUCGCCAGAGCCACCUUUAUGCAUGGUCCAAAAAUGUCUUAUCGAAAUUGUUACGAAUUUUUUUUUCGCAAUGGUUGCGCAAUCUGCCUGCCUUCUUGUUUAUAGUUUGCAGUUUUUUUUUUUAGAGGUUAGAUCUUUGUAAUCUGAAUCGUUGAUAAGCGUACACCGCAAGUUUAUUCCUCCGUUCUCGGUUUGUUCCUUCUUUCUUCGUGCAAUUUAUCGCUUUUUAUACGGCUCUAACAUUUCCAAUUUGAUGAUUAUGAAGCGAUUUAACAAGCAAGAAUGUUAUAUUCAGCGUGGGCCGAAUUUUAUGUAUUCACACCUUCCCUUAUAUCUCUUUUUUUUAGCAUUCGUUUUUGUUUACGUAACGAGUAAUAUACGAAAACAUUCAAAAAUUGAACAAAUGAAUACUUGAUCACUCAUAACUUUGUAUGGGCGUAGACUAUUUUCUCCGUUUUUGAUAAAGCAUAACAGAGUCCUUCAUAACAACUUCAGUGUUCAACCUCUUAUAAUUUGUGAGCAAUGAGCCAAAGAAGUUUGCUUUCAGUUUUUUCCUUCCUGAGGGUGUGUUCGUUGGCUCAUUUUAAAUAUCUACCUGCCUGCAAGAGCUUCCAAUGCUCCCGAUCCUGCACAAUCCGGGCAGUGCCAUCCGCAUAACCUAUCAAUUUUUCUUUUUGACUUCUUAUAUCGUCGUUUGCGUAGCUGCCUAUCGUUUUAACCACGUGCAACGUGAUGAUAGCGCAGGAUUCUUUGCGUCCUUGCUUUUUUGUGCUGUGGAAGUCACUUACAAUUCUUUCCAAUAGCCCAGUUUACCGGUUUUUAUUACUAUUCUAGAGAACUUUCUCGCGCUUUUGUAAGGCUCAAUUUGUUUACCAGUCUUUUGAUGUUUCAGCCUCACAUACAUGUGUUAAGGUAUUUCGGAAGUAAACCACGACAGCAUUUGGAUCUUCUUUCUAGCGCAGAGUAGUGUGCAGUUGUUCGUUUUCUUUUUUGGCCAACAGAACUGCUGCGCCUUGUGGCGCUACCUCAUUAUCUAUAUAGAAGUAGAUAAUGGUGGUGGCUUAAGGUUUCGCUUUGUGACAUUAUUCAACGCAUGCAUCCAUCUGCCAACAAUAACGAGCGAAGCACAUGAGCAUUUUGUAGACUAUCUAUACUAUGCAUGGGUAGUUUCACUGCGGCGAGCGAGUUAUAUCCUUAUAACUUUCGUUUAAUGGAACCAAAACUUGAGUGUUUCCCCACAAAUUACGGAUAAAGUUAAAAGUUACUGUUGCAGUCAUAUUAUUUUCUCAACGAGAUUUCCAUUCGGCACGUACAUGUUCUUUUAAGAGCGAUUGACGCUCCAUAAUAUUGGACCUCUCUAUUCUUCAUUCCUUAGCACGUCAAGUAAAGAGAGACCACUGUUUAUUCCAUAGGCGCUAUUAAUAUAAUAUUGAAGAUUUGCUUUAAUUUACAGAAACAGCCCAAGUUCAACUCAAGACGAAUAUUCUUAAACCGACUUAGAUGAUAUUGAUAAAUAUUUCGAGGUCUAGCCCCACCCAUCAAUCACCCAGUAACAUUUUGUGCUGACACCUUAACAUAUCAUUCCCUUCAUCGGCAAACGUGACAUCCUGAUGUCUUACGAGUCUUCUAUAUGUCGGCACGGCUCAGGCAUCAUUCAACAUGUGACGAAUAAACUUGCCCUUUUUAUUCAAGCUAAUUUCUAAGUAGCUGGCCUUGUGACUAGGACCAAACUCAUCCACUUUAAAUAUUGAAUAUCAACUGGACGAGAUCCUGGAGAAGUUGGUUGUAUCCUGGUCUUCUGUACAAAUGCCCUCUAGUUGCCUCAAUACUCCGGCCAUAUGAAAGGUCCACAAACGAAUUCCUCUGAGCAACUUCUAUCAUAUAACAAUGAGAGAAAUAUCCACCGAACUAUCUACCGGACCGACUGGGAUCAGAAAUACUCUAAAAUCCUUCUAUCAUCCCCCUCUGCUUCAGCAUUCUGACAAGCACUGAAGGAAGAUGCAUGCCCCGAUAAGGCAACGAAUUAUUCCUCACCUUAUCAGUCGGCUUCGGAAGAAUUAUGGCCUUGUCUGCUUUUCACGGUAAUGGAAAGGAACGCUCCCGCAGACAUCCAAAAUAGAUCGCACAGAGAUAUUCUGAAAUAAACUUUCAGAUGGCUGUAAACAUUUCGCCGGUAAUCUGUCUGAAUCCGGUGUUCUUUUACACCUAACAUUCGAGACCGCUUACCCCAUUCAUGUUCCUUCAACGAAGGCGCAGAAGGGAUCAGUCCAAUAUUAGAAGACAUAGUAUCAUUCUGUGGACUCCUUGCUUCUAAUAGCACCACCUGACACCCAAGUGUCGUUCCGGUCGCGAGGAACAAAAUCUUCAAUCUCUUCAGCCGUCUUCCUUAGUCUUUUUAAGUACACUUUCUCAAGGAGCAAGACAUGUUUAGUUAUAUGGUCUACCUGCUCAUCCAAAAGUGCAUUCAGAAAAUUCCCAAGAUGCACCGCGGAAGCUGUUCCCCUAAUAUAGACUCCGUAUGCGUCACAUUAAUCUCAAAAAUGUGCCAAUGUUUGACGUUAAGUUUAGUGGGUGCGGUGGAAGUAAAAUUAACCAUCACUUUAGUAGUGUUCCUAACGCUUCGGUAGGGAAGAUAACAGAUGUCUUUGCUGGUUUAACGUGGGUACAUACCUUGUCGGUUUAACCCCACAGUACUUGAUGACACCCGGGUUCAUUUAGCGUAACCGGCUCCCUUUAGAGAGUUAGACAAUCCCUAUAAGCUAGGAGCCUAAACUACGUUGGAGAGUCCAGAUAUGUUUAUAAACGCUGGGAAGAUAACAGAAAGAACAAAUCAUUCGAGAAAAUGGAGCUUAUGCUCACGUCGCCACACCAAUGAGUAUUGGAUAUUGCGUUUUUGAUAUGAAACCAACCCACGGAUUAUUCGCAAGACAUAUUUAUGCGAACGUGGUGAUUUGGCGCGAUUAUUAUCGGCGUUAUUAACGUCUUUUUAAUUCUUUGAAAAC